rnacentral:lncRNA from 1 species
CAGCACGGGGUCCAAUCCUCAUCUCCCCAUAUGACAGUGACUCACAUCCCUCCCUCUCUCUAGACUCACUAGUAACCAGGUAACCAGGCCCAAGUCUACCCUGCGAAUCCAGGCCACAGAAAGUGAUCAUAUGCAGAUACUGGUCCCUCUGAAGACACUCAUUUCCUGACCCUCCUGAGGAGGUUCAGUGGGCCUCUGGGUUCACUUAGGGGCACCUGGAGAGCCCUGAUACAACCUCAUGUGACAACUCUGCUCCUGGCCCUUGCAGACUUAAAAUGCGGAGUUCUCCUUCAAGGUAAUAAGACGGGAAGGUGGAGCUUCUAGUGUUGGGGUUGGAGUUGGGAAAAGACACGAGGGGGAAUCUGGGGAGGAUUCUAAUCAAGUGGCUUGAGGGCCCAAGUGACCCCUGGGUGACUGAGGAAGUAGAAUGUGAUGAAAGGCAGUUGCUGUCACCAUGCUUCCUGCCAUCUUCCAGAUGGAAACCCCCAGACAAAUCCAGGAGGACAAAAUCAGGCAGCCUGUGGCAAUCCAAAAUCCUGACCACACAAAGCUGUGACUGAAUACAAUACAAGAUCACAAGAUACUAGAAGACACACCCAAAUGCUAAGCUACAUUUUUGUUCCAGCUGAGGACAAGGAAUUUUGUUGAGGGUGAGGAGGGAGUGUGGAGGGGGUGGAAAAAGGCAGGGCCCAUUAUUGUAAGGAGAUGGAAUCUGGUAUUUUUCUAAGACUUGUCCCAUUAUACUAAUGAGCAUCUGAUUCAGAACUGUAUCUCCUUUGAAGACCCCUGAGUUUCCUCCAAAUGGGCUCUGCUAAGAUUUCAUAGGAAAAAAUAAAAGGGGACUUGGUUUUCCUGCUUUGUCCUUG